rnacentral:rRNA from 1 species
GGGUCAGUAGGUUGGUCGUGCCACCGGUACGUACUGGUCUCACUGAUUCCUCCUUCCUGAAGAACCGUAAUGCCACUAAUUUGGUGUUGCGGGGAAACAGGACUGUUACUUUGAAAAGAUUAGAGUGUUUAAAGCAAGCUAACGCUUGAAUACAUUAGCAUGGAAUAAUGAAAUAGGACGAUCGAUCCUAUUUUGUUGGUUUCUAGGAUUGACGUA